AGCCUUCCUGGAAAGUCAGAAAAAGAAAAGAAAACGAAAUAACAAAUGAAAUUCGGAGUCUUCGGAGCUGCUUUGCCCGCGUGGUUGGCACGCUGUAUUUUUCUGCUCCACACUGCUGCUGUAGUGUUCUGACAAUGAAGGGACUCAUUGUGGUAAAAAGUGAAACUGUUCAUGUUUCCGUAUGUGUAGAAGGGGAAUGCCAGCCUCUCAUCAUCAUUCAUGCUGCUGAAAGUCUUAUUUCUGCAAAAGAUCCAAAAUGUUGUGGAACAAAAGGCACCAUACCUGUCUAACUGUCUGUUUUUCGCUCCUCGGUCUCUCAGUUUAGAAAAUGGAAAAUGGAGAAGUGUUACACUGUGAAAUUGCAUUGCACGUUGUUCUUUCCUCUGAAUUUAUUUGACAGUUAACUGCUCAUCAUCAACUUCCUUUCUCUCUGGAUAUUCCUCCAUCUUGUUUCACUUUUUAAAUUACUCCACUAUGAAGAUGAACACAAAAUUUCUUCACGAUUUAAGACUCGGAGUUACUUUUCAAAUGAGCACAAAAUAUGAAGCAUCAGACAGAUAGAUGCCCAGCUACUACAAAGGACACACACUGUCUGAAACCGCUUGUCCCAAGCAGGGGUUGUGGCGAACCAGAGCUUAACCCGGCAACACAGGGAGAAAGUCGACCCACCACGGACGGGAUGCCAGGAUGCCCAGGAUAUACCCUGCCUCACUUGCUGGGUUUUCAGGAUGGACUCUGUACCACCACAGCACAAUACUGUACAAGUAGUUACUUAUAGUGGAUGGAGAGGUAUUUCCAUCACUUUUUGCACUGAAAUGAAUGAAUGAGACACCACAUUAAGUGCCAGUCAUACUGGGCACAACAAUGUCCUCUGGCUGUCCUUGUGUAUCCAUAGCCAUUAUACUUCAGCUCAAUAAAAAUGGAGUCAUUCAUCA
rnacentral:lncRNA from 1 species